rnacentral:rRNA from 1 species
CCUACGGGAGGCAGCAGUGGGGAAUAUUGGGCAAUGGGCGCAAGCCUGACCCAGCAACGCCGCGUGAGGGAAGAAGGCUUUCGGGUUGUAAACUUCUUUUCUCAGGGACGAAGCGAGUGACGGUACCUGAGGAAUAAGCCACGGCUAACUACGUGCCACCCGCCACGGUGAUUCGUAGGUGGCAAGCGUGAUCCGGAUUUACUGGGUGUAAAGGGCGUGUAGGCGGGGACGUAAGUCAGAUGGGAAAACCAUGGGCUCAACCUGUGGCCUGCAUUUGAAACUGGGUUUCUUGAGUACUGGAGAGGCAGACGGAAUUCCUAGUGUAGCGGUGAAAUGCGUAGAUAUUAGGAGGAACACCAGUGGCGAAGGCGGUCUGCUGGACAGCAACUGACGCUGAGGCGCGAAAGCGUGGGGAGCAAACAGGAUUAGAUACCCGAGUAGUC